CGAGCUGGCCGGGCGGCCGCGUCGGCGGUUCACGCAACCGCCGCCGAGGAAAGUCCGGACUCCGCAGGGCAGGGUGGUUGUUAACGGCAACCCGGGGCGACCCGCGGGACAGUGCCACAGAGAACAGACCGCCUCGCGCCUCGGCGCGAGGUAAGGGUGAAACGGUGGUGUAAGAGACCACCAGCACCCCGGGUGACCGGGGUGGCUCGGUAAACCCCACCCGGAGCAAGGCCAGGAGGCUCCCGUCCUCGCGGACGGGAGCUGCGCAGAUGUUCGAGGGCUGCCCGCCCGAGUCUGCGGGUAGGCCGCACAGAGCCCGCCGGCGACGGCGGGUCGAGAUGGAUGGCCGCCGAACGGAGCGCCGUGAGGCGCCCGGGAACAGGAUCCGGCUUACAGGCCAGCUCGUCCG
rnacentral:RNase_P_RNA from 1 species